UAUAUUUUUCGUAUUUUUAUGAUGAAUCAUUUUUUUUUCAUAAUUUUAGAAUAACAAUUUACAAUAUGCCUACCUAUUGGGUAAUAUUAUAACCGUUAUAAAGUAUUCCUCAAUGUUUAUUACUUGCAAGACUGUAUAAACCAGGUGGUCUAAUGAAAAAAUUUUCUUCGACGCCCAGAAAAUCARAAAUUAUAUUCUACACUUCCAUACUACUCAUACAAAUAGACUAAUGUAUGUAAUUCGACAUUAUUAGYUAUCGUUUAGUUUAACAUCGUUAUUCAGUAUUCACUAUUUCACUGGAUACGAAUUGAGAAGAGUGUGAUUGUGGUUCGAUCAAAACCUUGUACUUAGUGRYAUUUAAUAAUAAACUUCAUUCGAGCACAAACCACCUUUCUUCAUUGUCCAUGCGCCACCAACAUCUAAAGGUAACAACUACCAGUUACAACUCUGGCCACCAUCGUCUGUUUACUCAGACUACUCGUCAGUCGUCAUGUCAAAUGAUCUGAACCGGCUUCAACUGCUAGAGAGUGUGUUCAAUAGAGUGACCGAGUUUGCCCGGACUGUGCACAGCAUACUGCCCACCAUCAGAGAGUGCAAUGAACUGCAUGAAAGACUGUUGGACUCCAUUGGCCGCAUUCUGUCUCUGUUGCGGCUUAUACGCGAUGGUCUCGUUGGGCAUACAUCUGGGUUGACAAAUGGACGAUCGAAGGGCUGACAGAUAGGCAAUACUAACUUGGAUCAAUAUGACCAAUCUUAAGAACUUAAUACAAUCAACUAGAUGCAAAAACUUCUUACCGCRUAUAAAAUGUGYAGACAAUAUUGUCUGAAGUGGCUUACAGUUUUCAUAUUUUUUAUAAACGUUUAAAUUCUAAAUGUUGUAAUAAAGUAAAUAAGACUGGUGAUGUUUAAUUGGAAAAACGAAUUAAAAGUCCACAGUAUUAUAUUUUUAAUUCCUUAAAUUUA